GAGGAGGCAAGACGUAAUGAGCAGAAUCGGGUGUCAGAUUUGCAUGGUAGAGCAACCUAUACAUGUGGCUCAAGGAACAUGUGUCGGGCUAUGGAACAAUUGAAAUGUCAAAUCAUUGAGGAUGGUGGCAAACCUACAAUGUUGAAACUAUAUUUGGGUACCCACUCGUCAUCGGUACAUAAGAUCACCGGAGAGUAUACAUACCCGGAGAGUAUUGCAGUUCCAGUAAUAAAGUAGAACGAGAACACAAUGCUUUAGUGCAAUGUACACCAGUGGCAAUUACGGAUGGCAAGGGUUCAACUACUUGACCGACAAAUUGUAGCAAAAAGUUCCCUUAUUUUUUAUUGCAUUGAAAUACCGUCUGUUGGUGAAUUUUCAUGUGUCAUUUUGCUACAAUGUGAAAGACGAAGGUUCAUGCCUAAGUGUAGCUACUGUUUUGUGUUCGAGACUUGCAAAAGUGUAUAUAAUUUAAAUAUGGAUCGAUAUCCCCUUGAAUAGAUGUUCUGGAUGAAAAUUAAACUACUUUUUAAUU